AUGUCUUCCUCAAGCUCCCGCGCCACCUCGCGGAUGCAGAGCCGGGCGCGUGUGGACAUGCCUGUCUUCGUCUCUCCGCGGUGCCGGGCGGGCGUUGAUCAAAGGGUUUCUCAGGCACCGAGGAACCAGAAUCGUCCGUUCUACGUGUGCAGCGAGAAUGGGGUGACGUGCUUCUUUCUUUGGGUCGAUGCUCUGGCCAAGACUCUGAUGAAUGAACUGCAAGAAGAGCAUGAAGAAUGGUUGCGCAUGCUGCCACGAAUGGCAGUGGCCACACCACGAGCUCCGGAAGAAGAGAUGGAUGGUGAAGCACGCAACAGAGAGCUAGCUAUUGAGCUUAGGAUGUUGAAGAAGAAGGUUAGGAAGCUUGAAGAUCAAGCACUACCAAUACCCAUUUGCAAAUACUUUUGGGCAUUUACAGGUAUGGUAAUCGCACUGGUUGUAAUGCUGAAAAUGUAUGGAAAGGCAUGA
rnacentral:rRNA from 1 species